rnacentral:rRNA from 1 species
UGAACGCUGGCGGCGUGCCUAAUACAUGCAAGUCGAGCGAACGGACGAGAAGCUUGCUUCUCUGAUGUUAGCGGCGGACGGGUGAGUAACACGUGGAUAACCUACCUAUAAGACUGGGAUAACUUCGGGAAACCGGAGCUAAUACCGGAUAAUAUUUUGAACCGCAUGGUUCAAAAGUGAAAGACGGUCUUGCUGUCACUUAUAGAUGGAUCCGCGCUGCAUUAGCUAGUUGGUAAGGUAACGGCUUACCAAGGCAACGAUGCAUAGCCGACCUGAGAGGGUGAUCGGCCACACUGGAACUGAGACACGGUCCAGGCUCCUACGGGAGGCAGCAGUAGGGAAUCUUCCGCAAUGGGCGAAAGCCUGACGGAGCAACGCCGCGUGAGUGAUGAAGGUCUUCGGAUCGUAAAACUCUGUUAUUAGGGAAGAACAUAUGUGUAAGUAACUGUGCACAUCUUGACGGUACCUAAUCAGAAAGCCACGGCUAACUACGUG